GAAGAGAGGAGCUUGCUCUUCUUGGAUGAGUUGCGAACGGGUGAGUAACGCGUAGGUAACCUGCCUUGUAGCGGGGGAUAACUAUUGGAAACGAUAGCUAAUACCGCAUAACAAUGGAUGACACAUGUCAUUUAUUUGAAAGGGGCAAUUGCUCCACUACAAGAUGGACCUGCGUUGUAUUAGCUAGUAGGUGAGGUAAUGGCUCACCUAGGCGACGAUACAUAGCCGACCUGAGAGGGUGAUCGGCCACACUGGGACUGAGACACGGCCCAGACUCCUACGGGAGGCAGCAGUAGGGAAUCUUCGGCAAUGGGGGCAACCCUGACCGAGCAACGCCGCGUGAGUGAAGAAGGUUUUCGGAUCGUAAAGCUCUGUUGUAAGUCAAGAACGGGUGUGAGAGUGGAAAGUUCACACUGUGACGGUAGCUUACCAGAAAGGGACGGCUAACUACGUGCCAGCAGCCGCGGUAAUACGUAGGUCCCGAGCGUUGUCCGGAUUUAUUGGGCGUAAAGCGAGCGCAGGCGGUUUGAUAAGUCUGAAGUUAAAGGCUGUGGCUCAACCAUAGUUCGCUUUGGAAACUGUCAAACUUGAGUGCAGAAGGGGAGAGUGGAAUUCCAUGUGUAGCGGUGAAAUGCGUAGAUAUAUGGAGGAACACCGGUGGCGAAAGCGGCUCUCUGGUCUGUAACUGACGCUGAGGCUCGAAAGCGUGGGGAGCGAACAGGAUUAGAUACCCUGGUAGUCCACGCCGUAAACGAUGAGUGCUAGGUGUUGGAUCCUUUCCGGGAUUCAGUGCCGCAGCUAACGCAUUAAGCACUCCGCCUGGGGAGUACGACCGCAAGGUUGAAACUCAAAGGAAUUGACGGGGGCCCGCACAAGCGGUGGAGCAUGUGGUUUAAUUCGAAGCAACGCGAAGAACCUUACCAGGUCUUGACAUCCCGAUGCUAUUUCUAGAGAUAGAAAGUUACUUCGGUACAUCGGUGACAGGUGGUGCAUGGUUGUCGUCAGCUCGUGUCGUGAGAUGUUGGGUUAAGUCCCGCAACGAGCGCAACCCCUAUUGUUAGUUGCCAUCAUUCAGUUGGGCACUCUAGCGAGACUGCCGGUAAUAAACCGGAGGAAGGUGGGGAUGACGUCAAAUCAUCAUGCCCCUUAUGACCUGGGCUACACACGUGCUACAAUGGUUGGUACAACGAGUUGCGAGUCGGUGACGGCGAGCUAAUCUCUUAAAGCCAAUCUCAGUUCGGAUUGUAGGCUGCAACUCGCCUACAUGAAGUCGGAAUCGCUAGUAAUCGCGGAUCAGCACGCCGCGGUGAAUACGUUCCCGGGCCUUGUACACACCGCCCGUCACACCACGAGAGUUUGUAACACCCGAAGUCGGUGAGGUAACCUUUUGGAGCCAGCCGCCUAAGGUGGGACAGA
rnacentral:rRNA from 1 species